UUCUGUCUUUGUCCCCUCCCCUCCCCCACCAAUAAUCAGCAGCAGGGGCUCCGGUGAUUUAACUUGCCUCAAUCCCCUGGAUAACUCUGGAUGAAUGAAAGUUGACCAUGUAUCAAACAUUAACAAGCUGCAGGGCUGGGAGGGUGGAGGUAAGCAAUAGGCCCCGGGUUCAGCCUGGCCUCUUGGCCUCUUGCCCACAGUUCCUUCCCAUGACUCACCUUUCUGUUUAGGUUUGUGCCUCCCUGGCUGGCAAUCAAACACAGUACAGAUUUAGCCUGGGAAGCAAGGCUGUGUGUGAGGCUCUUCUCCACAACUCCUCUCCCCAAACAUGGGGUGCUGAAAACUGUCCACAAAUCAAUACAUCACUGUGAUAAGCUGUCAGGAGCUGGUGAAGUAAGAGUGUUCCAGCGAGCCCAGCUUCUCUCCAAGCAGGAAGGAGUGCCUCUUACAUUUUCACACUUUCCUUCAUCCUUAGGAUGAAAACCCAACAGGCCUGGUACAGAGGAGGGGGCACAAAUGUCUCUUAUGAUCUGCACAAGGGAGCUGCCAGCUGGAAGGGUGGUGCUUGACUGCCUCCAGACCCUCUCUGCCAGGCUUUCUCCUGGGUCAGGUCUGAAUGUCUGUACCCCAUCAACUGAGCAGUCAUGCUUGUCCUUCUUGGAGACAGGACCAGCCUGUUAUCAACCAAUUCCCACCACAUGGCCACAUUCUUACUGCCCAGUGUGAGGCCAGAUGUUCUGAGAUCUGCUUGGGGUGCCAGAUUUCACUGGAGGAAGGAAAUGGCUCAAGGAAAAAGGUGAUGUAUGGAGACUAAUUUGGAAAACAAAUAAAGAACAAUGUUGUAAUAAGAAAUGGCAGGCUUGACGUGACUCUGCUGCGAAAGAAACACUCCAGGGUCUUGCUCAGAGGUGGCUUUGGAGGGCGUGGCUGUGCAUGUUUCCAACUCUCUUGAGUUUGUGUUGGGGGUUCUUAUGCCCCAACCUGUGGCUUAAGGCUGAGGGAUGGUGGAAGUAUCACUCCUUAGUUGGUUCAUGGAGGAGUCCUGGAAGGUGAGCCUUGACACUGGCCCUGACAAAUGGAACUCAGACAGGCUACCAGAUGACCAGGAUGCCAGCCUUUUAGAAAACACACAACAACCGACCCAGCCUGUCAUGGAGCCCUUUCUGCUUUAGCAGGCAUAGCAUCCAGCUCUCCCUCUCCAUUGCGCUAAUGGAGACUUCCUUUCUCUUUAAAUGCAGUUUAUUGGUUAGUCCUUACACACUUGGUUCAGCAAAUGCCACCCAGAUUUUCCUCCCCAGAGAUCACUCUUCUCCACAAGCCAUUCAAUGGGGGUGGAAGCUGCAGCCCACAGACUGAGUUGUGUGCAGUAUUUUCCCCCAAGCUUGCCUCUUUCUCAAGAGGACUGCCAAAUAUGAGCAGGUGGUUUGCUUCCUUGAUGCCAUUGGAUGCUUGAAUUUUAAAAGCAUGAGAUUUAGAUACCGCUUGAUGGAAAAAACAUCAACAGCUAUGUCAUUCACCCUCACCUCUCAGCUGGGACAGUUCAGAUGCAGCUGUGGAAGAGGAUGUUUCUCUAGUUCCGGGAAGCCUGCCUGAGAGCAUUGCACAUGUGCCAGGCACUGGUGGUAAGCAGCUAGAAAGAUAAGUCAGAAAGAAGGAUCCCCAGACAUUCUGGCCCCCGGUUUAAUGUUCCAUCACUGAAGUCAUCCCUGACUGAGCACCCACUGUACACAUGCCAGGCACAGGGAGGAUGUUGGAGGAGACCGUGUGGUGUGCCUGCAUGUGUGGUAUGUGAUGUGAUGAGGGUAUAUAGAAGCAUGUGCAUACAUGGGAUGGUAUGAAAGUGUGUGCAUGUUUGUGAACCCAUGAAUCAAGUAAAAUUAUGUGACUGUGUGUACAUGCAUAGUGGUGUGUUUGACCGCUAGUGACAUGUAUGCAUGCAGGUGGGCGAGAAGAGGGAUGGAGGGGUGAAUCCUGUUCCCAGGGAGCCCAUGGACUUAUGGGAGAGGAGAGAGAUCAACAUCCAACACUCUUUUCCCUUGAUUCCCAAAUCCCCCUUUGACCUUCUUCCUCUCAUCCCCCCCCCUCCUUUGCCUUGAGAAAGACACUGGGAAGGCUUGGAAUUCCUCCCACAAACUCUCAGCAGCUCUACCUGUUCAGAGGGCAAAAUGUUUUCCAGGCCACUGUCAUCCCUCAGUCCAGGUGCAGAGUGUGCCAGGCAGCCUCUGACAGC
rnacentral:lncRNA from 1 species